UACGUAGGCAGCAAGCGUUGUUCGGAGUUACUGGGCGUAAAGGGUGUGUAGGCGGCCUUCUAAGUUUGGUGUGAAAUCUCCCGGCUCAACUGGGAGGGUGCGCCGAAUACUGAAGGGCUAGAGUGCGGGAGAGGAGAGUGGAAUUCCUGGUGUAGCGGUGAAAUGCGUAGAUAUCAGGAGGAACACCGGUGGUGUAGGCGGCUCUCUGGACCGUAACUGACGCUGAGACACGAAAGCGUGGGUAGCAAACAGG
rnacentral:rRNA from 1 species